rnacentral:rRNA from 1 species
GACGAACGCUGGCGGCGUGCUUAACACAUGCAAGUCGAACGGAAAGGCCUCUUUCGGGGGGUACUCGAGUGGCGAACGGGUGAGUAACACGUGAGUAACCUGCCCUUGACUUUGGGAUAACUUCAGGAAACUGGGGCUAAUACCGGAUAGGAGCUCCUGCUGCAUGGUGGGGGUUGGAAAGUUUCGGCGGUUGGGGAUGGACUCGCGGCUUAUCAGCUUGUUGGUGGGGUAGUGGCUUACCAAGGCUUUGACGGGUAGCCGGCCUGAGAGGGUGACCGGCCACAUUGGGACUGAGAUACGGCCCAGACUCCUACUGGAGGCAGCAGUGGGGAAUAUUGCACAAUGGGUGGGAGCCUGAUGCAGCAACGCCGUGUGCGGGAUGACGGCCUUCGGGUUGUAAACCGCUUUCGCUCAUGACGAAGCUUUGUGUGACGGUAGUGGGUAAAGAAGCACCGGCUAACUACGUG